CUACGGAGGGUGCGAGCGUUGUUCGGAAUUAUUGGGCGUAAAGAGCAUGUAGGCGGUCUGUUAAGUCUGGUGUGAAAGCCCGGGGCUCAACCCCGGAAGUGCAUUGGAUACUGGCAGACUUGAGUAUGGGAGAGGAAAGCGGAAUUCCGAGUGUAGGAGUGAAAUCCGUAGAUAUUCGGAGGAACACCAGUGGCGAAGGCGGCUUUCUGGACCAAUACUGACGCUGAGAUGCGAAAGCGUGGGGAGCGAACAGGAUUAGAAACCCUAGUAGUCC
rnacentral:rRNA from 1 species